rnacentral:tRNA from 1 species
GGGGAUAGCUCAGUGGUAGAGCACAUGCUUAGCAUGCCUGAGGUCCUGGGUUCCACCCCUGGUAACUCCA